rnacentral:lncRNA from 1 species
UUUCUGAAAAGGUUGAUUUUAUUGUAUUUUAGAUAUUUAGAGUAGUUAAUUGAUUUGGAUUUUAGGCCGAGGAAAAAGAACCAGCUGACGAUGAAGAGUCUGACAAGUCGAGAUCAGAAGUUCACGACGAUGAUGAAGACGAUGAUGAGAGUGGAGAGGUUUGUAUAAAUUUCGUAUAGUUCUCUAAUUCUAAAAUUUAAAAUCUUGAAUUAAUUAUAAUUCGGGUGGAUUAAUAGUUUUUCUUUUUUUGCAGGAUGAUGAUGAUGAUGAUGAGUAAAAAGAAAAAGAAGCAACUGUUGUGGGUUGUGGGAGGUUGGGUUGGAGUUGAUUAUUAGUUGGGAAAUUUGGGUCAGGUGUAGGAUUUCUACAAUAUGGUUAACCUUGGGAAUUAGUCUAUCCUUUAUCCUGAUAAAAUAGAUCCUUUUUAAUAUAUUUUCUUAUCCCUCUUCAGGGAACAACUUGAGUCGAGUAAAAUUGAAGUUAGUUUCAGUAAUAUGUAAUCUGAAGCUUAUAUCUUUGUGUAAUUUAUCCUUCUUAUUAAGAUCAAUGAUAAUUUAGAUAGGUUUUAA